rnacentral:rRNA from 1 species
CCUACGGGUGGCAGCAGUGAGGAAUAUUGGUCAAUGGGCGUAAGCCUGAACCAGCCAAGUCGCGUGAGGGAUGAAGGUUCUGUGGAUCGUAAACCUCUUUUAUAAGGGAAUAAAGUGUGGGACGUGCCCUCUUUUGUGUGUACCUUAUGAAUAAGGAUCGGCUAACUCCGUGCCAGCAGCCGCGGUAAUACGGAGGAGCCGAGCGUUAUCCGGAUUUGUUGGGUUUAAAGGGUGCGUAGGCGGCGUGUUAAGUCAGCGGUGAAAGUCUGUGGCUCAACCACAGAAUGGCCGUUGAAACUGGGGGGCUUGAGUAUGUUAGAGGCAGGCGGAAUGCGUGGUGUAGCGGUGAAAUGCUUAGAUAUCACGCAGAACCCCGAUUGCGAAGGCAGCCUGCCAAGCCAUGACUGACGCUGAGGCACGAAAGCGUGGGGAUCAAACAGGAUUAGAUACCCGGGUAGUC